CUGGCUCAGGAUGAACGCUGGCGGCGUGCUUAACACAUGCAAGUCGAGCGAAGCGCCCGAGUUGAUUCUUCGGAUUGAAACAAGGGAUGACUGAGCGGCGGACGGGUGAGUAACGCGUGGGUAACCUGCCUCAUACAGGGGGAUAACAGUUAGAAAUGACUGCUAAUACCGCAUAAGCGCACAGUACGGCAUCGUACAGUGUGAAAAACUCCGGUGGUAUGAGAUGGACCCGCGUCGGAUUAGCCAGUUGGCGGGGUAACGGCCCACCAAAGCGACGAUCCGUAGCCGGCCUGAGAGGGCGACCGGCCACAUUGGGACUGAGACACGGCCCAAACUCCUACGGGAGGCAGCAGUGGGGAAUAUUGCACAAUGGGGGAAACCCUGAUGCAAGCGACGCCGCGUGAGUGAUGAAGUAUUUCGGUACGUAAAGCUCUAUCAGCAGGGAAGAAGACGACGGUACCUGACUAAGAAGCCCCGGCUAACUACGUGCCAGCAGCUGC
rnacentral:rRNA from 1 species